AGAGUUUGAUCCUGGCUCAGAACGAACGCUGGCGGCGUGGAUAAGACAUGCAAGUCGAACGGGGUUCCAUUGUGUAGCAAUACAUGAUGUAACCUAGUGGCGAACGGGAGCGYAACACGUKGGAAUUUACCAAAAAGUGGGGGAUAGCUCGUCGAAAGGCGAAUUAACACCGCAUGUGAUCGAAAGAUUAAAAGUGGGGGAUCGCAAGACCUCACGCUUUUUGAGAAGCCCGCGGCCUAUCAGCUAGUUGGUGAGGUAACGGCUCACCAAGGCGAUGACGGGUAGCUGGUCUGAGAGGACGACCAGCCUCACUGGAACUGAGACACGGUCCAGACACCUACGGGUGGCAGCAGUGGGGAAUAUUGCGCAAUGGGGGCAACCCUGACGCAGCAACGCCGUGUGAGGGAUGAAGGCUUUCGGGUCGUAAACCUCUGUCAGAAGGGAAGAACGGGCAGUGGUCUAAUAGGGCCAUUGUUUUGACGGUACCUUCAGAGGAAGCACCGGCUAACUCCGUGCCAGCAGCCGCGGUAAUA
rnacentral:rRNA from 1 species